GCUCUGUGCCGUGCGGGCCGGGGGAGGAGGGAGCGGGCUCUGUGCCGUGCGGGGACCGCGGGACACCGCUCUCCCCGGGGCGAGGACCGCAGAGUGCCGGAGGACCCCAGGAGAGCCCCCCGCAGCCGGGGCAGGGCGGGGAGGCACGGCCGGAGUUGGGACAGGGUUUACAGAGUCCCCUCAGUGUCAGGCGGCCCUGGCACGCUGUGGCUGGCAUCGUGUUCAUUCAUUUUCCUUCAGGAAGGGAAGGCAACGAGAGCAGUGACAGUCUGCGAGUAAUCAGCCUCAAAAGAGAGGUUGGUACUAAGCAGCAGGAGGGUGGGGGCUGCCACUCCCCUCCACAGCUUUGGCUGGCACCGCAAGGGCUCGGGAGCCACUCUCAGCCACAGCAUCCAACUACGACUCUCACAAGUCUCUGCUGCAAGAUGACAUCUGAAUGGCAGUGAAGUGUGGAGGACUCCUCUGUGGACAUUACAUCUGCAUACUCACUCAAAGUGACUUUUCUCUCUCCAUGGUAUUUGUCACUUCAGAUUUUUGUGCAAGUGAAGGAGAACAAAAGAAGCUCAAUUGAGGAGAACUCAAUUCAAGCCCUUGCACUGAGCCCACAGCGUUUCACAGCUGUUUGAUUCAAGGUGACAUGCCUGGCUGAGUACAGGGACUUCUGGGACCUGGGAGAUAGAGCAGCUGAACCACUCGGGGCAAAGUCACCCCAAAUCAAACCCACCUCAGCUGUGCUGACACCUUGCUAUCAGUGUUGCGCCAGAGAGCUUGUAUGUCACACACACAUCUUUGGAAAGAGCCAUGGGAAUCUCAGGGAGAGGGAACUGGAGGAUUAGUUGCUCUUUUUGUUGUGUAAAGGAUGGUGAAAAGGCUUGGAUACUGAGCCAGGAGUUUGUGGACUAGACAAAUUACAAACUGGAACAUUUCCAGGGGUUUAGAACUUUCAGAUUUAGAAGAGCACUGCAAGAAUUUUUCAGUUUCUCAGCCAGCAGGGGCUGUGCACACCCUUCAGUUCCCCUGCAGCACAGCUCACCCUCUCGAGCAGCUGCACCCAGCACCGGCAUGCUGGAGAUCUUGGCUCAAGAGUAUUGUGGCAGGUGCUUGAGCUCAAACUCCUUCGGUGCAAAGGAAUCUUAAAUGUUAAGGGAGUGAGGAAAAUGAGCAUGAAAGUGGUUCUGCACAGGUAACAGUCAGAGAAGUCUUUGUGCUUCAAAGUGCUCCCAUGCCCAUACUCUGAGCUGUCAUUGAGAAGAGUGUUGAUCUCAGCACUGUGCAGCAACAUUAGUUCAACAGUGUGGGUUCACUUUGCUCCUUUAUUCAUGGUUCAUUUGAUCCAUUAGUCCUAUCUGAACUUCAAAGGUCUUUUCAUGUCCCUCCUGGAAAUGUUCCUUCCUUAAGUUUUUCUCCAAUUUGCUGACUGCACUGCACAGCCCACAUAACCAGAGAGGUAUUUUUAUCUGGUUGUGUUAUAGGCCAUUUGAUUGAUUAUUACUGGCUCCAGGCUAGUGCUUCUAGCACUGUAUUUUCAUUUGACUCCAUCACCUCAAAGACCAUUUUUCCUGCCCUUAUUUUCUCUGUCAGCAUUUUGGAAACACGAACAAGACAGAAAAAAUAAUGCAUUAAGUUUUGCAGUUUAUUUCUUAAUCAUUCAGAAAAAGUCUCAGGAUGUUUUUCUGUUUUUUAAACAUUCCUCCUAUUUUGUGUGUUACAGCUUCAUUUUAUUCCUGAAAUCACAGUUCUCACUUAUUUCCAAAUAGCCCUGGGAAGAAUUGAGGAAGUCGAAUCAAACCAGUUCAGUGAAGCUGACACGUUAAGCUGACAGUGGAGGUGUAACCCCUCUCCCUUUUCAGGGUGAAAGGGGAGUGGACACUCAAUAGACCUUGUACCAAGGCAAGCAAAUCUCUUGCACAAUCUGUUGGGUUUUGGCAGGCAGCUCCCAGGGCUUUCAGUCUAGGAACUGGAACCAGACAAGAUCCAAUGACACAAAGGAACAAAAUACAGAGGUGGAGGAAUAGCAAAAGGCAAAGUACAAGGAUGAGCAGCCUUAUGUCCAUGAUUUAGAGAAAAGAACAAGGCAGAUUUAUCUGUUUUAUAACUCUGUGGUCUUCCAAGGAGUUAAUCUAGGGAGGUGCUUUGUCCUGUGGGAAUGGAAGGGUUCAAAAUGCCGCAGGUCACUGCAUACACAUCAGACAAACUACGGGAAAAACAAUUUAAAAUCCCUUCCUGUCAUCAUGACCAGGCUGGAGUGAGGCAAGUGUACCUAUCCUUUGUGAAACAGCAGUGGAGGAGCACCAGAGAGCCAGCUCUGAACAAAACACCAGCUUGCUUUUGAAGGCAGCUGUCCUUGCAAGGAGUGCACAACGUGUAACAUUUAAGGAACUUGUGCCUCAUUCCACCAAGCAGAAAGUUGGCUCAAGACUCUUACGUGGAGCUCUUGUGCUACAAGUAUCGUAAAUAAAAAAGUUUUAAAAAGACA